CUGUCCUACGGGAGGCAGUAGUGAGGAAUAUUGGUCAAUGGGCGCGGGCCUGAACCAGCCAAGUAGCGUGAAGGAUGACUGCCCUACGGGUUGUAAACUUCUUUUAUAAAGGAAUAAAGUGAGGCACGUGCGCCUUUUUGUAUGUACUUUAUGUAUAAGGAUCGGCUAACUCCGUGCCAGCAGCCGCGGUAAUACGGAGGAUCCGAGCGUUAUCCGGAUUUAUUGGGUUUAAAGGGAGCGUAGAUGGGUUGUUAAGUCAGUUGUGAAAGUUUGCGGCUCAACCGUAACAUUGCAAUUGAUACUGG
rnacentral:rRNA from 1 species